CGGGCGCUGCCGUGCCGGGAGGGCUCCUGGGGCGAGUUAACGCGUUUUCGGUGCAGAUGUUGGGGUCCCCGUGUAACGCGAGCACCGCCGGAUUUGCCGCCGUCCCGGGACGAGACGUUUGGCCGUUACUGCGCUGGGCGGCACCCAUCGCCGGCCCCGGCUGGCCGGGGGGGUUCGGGCAGCCCCGGCGGGGCGAUCCCCGGGCACCGGGGCGCGGUGUCGGCGCCCGGCCCCCCAGCCUGGGGCGCCGAUGGACGGGAUUUCCUGGGGAGCUCCGAAUCGGGGGAGCGGGGCCGAGCCGCUCGUUCCUGCCCAGGUGACGGGGAGGAAGAGGAGUCGGGAGGAGCCACCCGGAGCUGGAGGCACCGGCCGCGGCUCCCCCAGUUUUCUCUUGCCGGGGGUUGGCUGUUGGUUGGUUUGGGCUCCUCUUUGCUUCAUGUCCAGCUCCUGGAUGGCUCCAGUUCGGUUUUGCCACCGGUUUGAGGUCCAGCUCCAGGAUGGCUCCAGUCCGUUUGCAGCUCCAGCUCACGGAUGGCUUUGCCCAGUUCCAGCCUCUGGUCCUUGUGGCUCCAGCUCAACUGCAGGUCUGGCUCCAGUUCAGUUUUGGCUGCAGCUGCUCACCUUCACCUCCACCUUGGUUUGCUCCCUCAGCUCAUUGGAUUUGGGUCCAGCUCCCAGCUGGGUCCAGCUCAUCUUCUUCUCCAGUUGAUGUGUGGCUCCAGCUGGUUUUCACCUCCAGCCAAUUCCAGCUUGUGCUUAAAACUAUCUGGGCUUUGGGCAAGGUCAUAAAUCAAUCACAACAUGUAUAUGAACUGUCAUAAGGGUACACAGGUUGGCUGAGUCAUUACUGAACAAUAAACACACGCUAUGGGGUGGUUGGACACCCCAAAACACUGUGAAAAACACCUUUCGCUCCAGA